rnacentral:rRNA from 1 species
GUCUCACAGUUUGAUCCUGGCUCAGAUUGAACGCUGGCGGCAUGCUUUACACAUGCAAGUCGAACGGCAGCACGGGGGCAACCCUGGUGGCGAGUGGCGAACGGGUGAGUAAUGCAUCGGAACGUAUCUUCAAGUGGGGGAUAACGCACCGAAAGGUGUGCUAAUACCGCAUAAUCUCUACGGAGAAAAGCAGGGGAUCGCAAGACCUUGCGCUUUUAGAGCGGCCGAUGUCUGAUUAGCUAGUUGGUGAGGUAAAGGCUUACCAAGGCGUCGAUCAGUAGCUGGUCUGAGAGGACGACCAGCCACACUGGGACUGAGACACGGCCCAGACUCC